GGAGUUAGCCGGUGCUUCUUCUGUGAGUGAUGUCCUUCCUGCCGGUUAUUGACCCGCAGGCCUUCUUCCUCACUGAAAGUGCUUUACAACCCGAAGGCCUUCUUCACACACGCGGCAUGGCUGGAUCAGGGUUGCCCCCAUUGUCCAAUAUUCCCCACUGCUGCCUCCCGUAGGAGUCUGGGCCGUGUCUCAGUCCCAGUGUGGCUGAUCAUCCUCUCAGACCAGCUACGGAUCGUCGCCUUGGUGAGCCGUUACCUCACCAACCAGCUAAUCCGACAUAGGCUCAUCCGAUAGCGCGAGGCCCGAAGGUCCCCCGCUUUCCCCCGUAGGGCGUAUGCGGUAUUAGCCUGGGUUUCCCCAGGUUAUCCCCCACUACCGGGCAGAUUCCUAUGCAUUACUCACCCGUCCGCCGCUCGCCACCAGGGAGCAAGCUCCCCGUGCUGCCGCUCGACUUGCAUGUGUUAGGCCUGCCGCCAGCGUUCAAUCUGAGCCAGAAUCAAACUCUAGA
rnacentral:rRNA from 1 species